AACUUUCAACAACGGAUCUCUUGGUUCUGGCAUCGAUGAAGAACGCAGCAAAAUGCGAUAAGUAAUGUGAAUUGCAGAAUUCAGUGAAUCAUCGAAUCUUUGAACGCACAUUGCGCCCGCCAGUAUUCUGGCGGGCAGGCCUGUUCGAGCGUCAUU
rnacentral:rRNA from 1 species